UACGAGGGGGGCAAGCGUUGUUCGGAAUUAUUGGGCGUAAAGGGUGCGUAGGCGGUGCGGUAAGUCUGUUGUGAAAUCCCCCGAGCUCAACCUGGGAAUUGCGAUGGAGACUGCAAGGCUGGAGUCUGGCAGAGGGGGGUAGAAUUCCACGUGUAGCAGUGAAAUGCGUAGAGAUGUGGAGGAACACCGAUGGCGAAGGCAGCCCCCUGGGUCAAGACUGACGCUCAUGCACGAAAGCGUGGGGAGCAAACAGG
rnacentral:rRNA from 1 species